GAGCGGGCGUAGCAAUACGUCAGCGGCAGACGGGUGAGUAACGCGUGGGAACGUACCUUUUGGUUCGGAACAACCCAGGGAAACUUGGGCUAAUACCGGAUAAGCCCUUACGGGGAAAGAUUUAUCGCCGAAAGAUCGGCCCGCGUCUGAUUAGCUAGUUGGUGAGGUAAUGGCUCACCAAGGCGACGAUCAGUAGCUGGUCUGAGAGGAUGAUCAGCCACAUUGGGACUGAGACACGGCCCAAACUCCUACGGGAGGCAGCAGUGGGGGAUAUUGGACAAUGGGCGCAAGCCUGAUCCAGCCAUGCCGCGUGAGUGAUGAAGGCCCUAGGGUUGUAAAGCUCUUUUGUGCGGGAAGAUAAUGACGGUACCGCAAGAAUAAGCCCCGGCUAACUUCGUG
rnacentral:rRNA from 1 species